CCUCCUCCCUUCCCAGGCAGCACGUGGGAAGCCGGCUUCAGCCGCGUGCUGCUUUUCCUGGCCGGUGCCGACCUGGUUCUGCCCAGGCGGGUCCUGCAGCACCAUGUCAACCCGGGCAUGGCACCGGCAGGCUGGGUGGGCCCCAGGUCAACCCUGGCCUGGCCCCGCGGCUUCUCCAGCCCCAGGUCAACCUGGUUGUAGCCAAGCGGCUCCUGCUGCACCAUGUCAACCUGAGCAUGCAUGCCACGUCAAC